GCCAGGUACAGUGGGCAUGCUUAUAGUCCCAGCUACUCCAGAGACCAAGGCAGGAGAAUCACUUGUGUCCAGUAACAGGCUGUAGUGCACUAUGCUGAUAGAGUGUCCACACUGUUUGCCAUCAAUAUCGUAAUUGCCAGGGAGUAGGGGACCAUCAAGUCACCUAGGGAGGGAUGAACUGGCCCAGGUUGUAAGUGGAGCAGAUGAAAACUCCCUUGCUAAUCAGUGGUGAGAUGGUACCCAUGAAUAGCCACUGUAAUUGAGCCUGGGGAACAUAGUGAGACCGUGUCU
rnacentral:SRP_RNA from 10 species